rnacentral:lncRNA from 1 species
AUGAAAUGGGGGUCUUUCCUUCGCCUAUUGUGUGUAUCGGCUUGGCUUCUUCCAGAACCAAGGAGGCAUUCUGGAGGGCGCGUGCGUGUAGGAAGGCCGACCACUACGCUAAAAGACUACGAUGACUACAACGAAAGCGAGUCGCUUCUAUUCUCGUUGGGAUUUUUUAUCUCUGGGGAAUCUAUAGAUCAUAGUAGUUCUCCAACCUCUCUAACUAACAUACAAUACAAUUUAACUUCACGGCACGGAAAAAAAGAAAGAGCUUCGCUCGGUGGGCCUUCCUGCGCUGACGAAUGCCUCCUUUAUCUUCUCUGA